CCUGGGGAGGAAGCCGCUCGCUCCCCGCGGGAGACGCGGAGCCCGCGGCUGGGAGGCCCGGCUGCUUCCGGGGCUCACAGGGCAGGGCCAGCCCGGGCCGGAGGCCUCGUGCUGUUUGAGAACGCGAGUGAUUGAACGGCCGAGUGAGGGCUAAGUUACCGACCUGCUAGAAAUGCCAGCCGCUCCGCGUCGGCUGUUCGCCCCGGUCUCCGUGUGGUCAGGGGAAACGCGCUGCUUUUUUUUCUUAGGUUGUGUACGGAUUAAUUUUACGUAAAAAAAAAAAAGUGUGUGUUGAAGAAUGUGUCGUCUCACAGGAUGACCACGGAGGGUCCUGUUCGAAGUUUUGAACCAAGAAUGCACACUGGGAACUAGCAAAACAACCCGCGGUUCCUUUUUUUUUUCUUUUGACUCUUACCUUCCUCGCUGUCUGCAGUGAAAGCCUCGAGCAACUGAAAAAUUAAGGAGCGUUGAGAAAAUGAGACAGUUUUGAAUUCUCUGCUUUUUAAGAGCAUUUCAAUUUAAAUCCAUGAGAUUCUGUGGGGUAUUGGUCUUAAAAUAAUAAUGAACACGUGACAACUGGCUAUCGCCAGGCACUGUUCUGAGGGCUUCACGAAUCGUUACUCAUUUAAUCCUCACGACAGCUCCACUAGGAAAGUAUCAUUAUCCCCGCCUAAAAGAUGGGGAAAUAGGGUUUAUGGCGAAGUAAAUGGCACCUCUGAAAUCCCAACCCUAAUGAGGCAGAGUCUGUUCUUAACCAGUGUGUCUACUAAAGGACCUGGAACAUUAUCUGGCUCAUGGCAGACUCUCUAGAAAUGUUUGUAGAAUGAAUGAAAGAUACAGGACAAGCCAGGCUCUGCAGCAAUGGUUCUUCACAAACGUUCGAUUCCCCUCUCUUAUUGAGGUGCCGUCUGGAGAUGUGAUGGUCUGGAGUCACAUCACUGGAAAGAAGCAUCCCGGGAUACACAUCCUUAGGCUCACUGAAUGGUCCUCUCGCUUCUCUGGUCUUUCCAGUCUCUCUUCUUCACCUUCUUAUUGGAUAUCUAAUGCAGAGGUCUGAGACUCAGAUUCAUGGCUAGUUCUCUUGGCUUAGUCCAUCUCCAGUGGUUUGCUGUUGCUGACUUGGACCCACCAUGCACUUGAUGGCAAUAUCCAUCCCUCUUGAGAUCCAGCUGCAACUCCCAGGUGGUUUUCAGCAUGGGUGGUCCACCACUUUCCCCCAGUUCUGCCCAUCUCCUGGCUUCUCUGCCAUCCAUCCUCCUUGGCACCAAGAAGAACCCAGAAACACUUGGAUUCCUUUUAAGGACACGUGAAAUCUCAAGUAUGCCUGAAAGUGCCAAUUUCGGCUCUCUUCUGCUUGACCAUGCCCUGCUGUUAUUUUUACAUUCCUGAAACCGUCUUAGGUUUCUCUUGGGUGGUCUACUUCCCCCUGGUUCCAAGUUUGGGAUGAGUCACAUACUCUAAACUUUCUCCUCAACUAAUCUCACCCUCAGAGUAAUGCAAAGUUCUGCUUCCCUUCCUGUUGCCAGGGAGACCAGCUGCCCUGUCUUCCUUCCUCUCCCCACUUCCAAGUCUCAGCCAUCCAUUUUACCGUGGAAACUGAAUACCCAAGCUCUAGCUGUUUCUUAGAUCCCACUGCAGGCCUCUCAAACUGUCGUCGUGGAGAAAUGGUCCUCUCACGUCCACACUCAUCAAAUGUUGCACUCUAGACUUCUCUAUGGCUAACCACAGCCCUCCCGACCCCCAUCCCCAGGGCUUUCCUCUGGUCAAACUUCCUAAGAGGUCUCUGAGCAUUCACUGCAUCAGGAACCUGAGAAUCUCCCUCGGCUCAUGGGCUACCUCCUACAUCCUGCAGCCUCCAGUUGGUACCCAAGCUGGGGUUAUCUGAGCUUUUAGAGUGCAUCUGCAGGCCGUCUUCAUCUUAUGGACCCAACCUCUGGAGGACACCAGGAAGCUGCCACCUGUCUCCUGGCCAAUCAGCCCUUCACAGAUGGAAUCCUUUCUCCCAGCACUGGAUACAUGGCAGUGAUGGAGAGAAAUUGGGGCUGGAUUAUUCAGAAAAAAAAUCUGUAUCUUUUUCAAAAGGAAAUAUAGCUUGUGGUGCAUGGGUCUGUGGCAGUGUUUGUGAUUCAAUGAUGGGAGAGGAAGGAAGGAAACUUGUCUAUUGAGUAACUGCUGGGCUGAGCACUAGUAGUUGUGUCUGAUUGUCCUCUCCCACUUCUACAAUUUAUGAGUUAUCUUAGCAA